GACGAACGCUGGCGGCGUGCUUAACACAUGCAAGUCGAACGGAAAGGCCCUGCUUUUGUGGGGUGCUCGAGUGGCGAACGGGUGAGUAACACGUGAGUAACCUGCCCUUGACUUUGGGAUAACUUCAGGAAACUGGGGCUAAUACCGGAUAGGAGCUCCUGCUGCAGGGUGGGGGUUGGAAAGUUUCGGCGGUUGGGGUUGGACUCGCGGCGUAUCAGCUUGAUGGGUUGGUAGUGGCUUAGCAAGGCUUUGACGGGUUGCCGGGCUGAGAGGGUGACCUGCCCCGUCACGCCUGGACUACGACCCAGCCCCCUACGGUAGGCAAGGGUGCAGUAUGUUGUACUGUGGGCUGAGGCCUAGUGCAGCAACGCCGCGUCCGGGAUGUCGUCCAUCGGUUUGUAUUCCGCUUUCGCCUUUGCCGAAGCGUGAGUGACGGUAAUGGGUAAAUAAGCACCGGCUAACUACGUG
rnacentral:rRNA from 1 species